AUUGAACGCUGGCGGCAGGCCUAACACAUGCAAGUCGAGCGGAGCGGCGGACGGGUGAGUAAUGCCUAGGACUCUGCCUGGUAGUGGGGGAUAACGUCCGGAAACGGGCGCUAAUACCGCAUACUAUCAGAUGAGCCUAUGCCGGAUUAGCCAGUUGGUGGGGUAAAGGCGUACCAAGGCGACGAUCCGUAACCGGUCGGAGAGGAUGAUCAGUCACACUGGAACUGAGACACGGUACAGAAUCCUACGGGAGGCAGCAGUGGGGAAUAUGGGACAAUGGGCGAAAGCCUGAUCCAGCCAUGCCGCGUGUGUGAAGAAGGUCUUCGGAUUGUAAAGCACUUUAAGUUGGGAGGCGUUACCAGCAGAAUAAGCACCGGCUAACUUCGUGCCAGCAGCCGCGGUAAUUC
rnacentral:rRNA from 1 species